rnacentral:rRNA from 1 species
UAUGUCUGUGAGUGGCAUACUGCUCAGUAACACGUAGUUAACCUACCCUUCGGACGUGGACAACCCCGAGAAAUUGGGGCUAAUCCGCGAUAGAUGUGAUGUCCUGGAAUGGUAUUACGUCUAAAGGUAUAUCAUACAUGUUUGAUAUACGCCAAAGGAUGGGACUGCGGCUGAUCAGGCAGUUGGUGAGGUAAUGGCUCACCAAACCAUUGACCAGUACGGGCCAUGAGAGUGGUAGCCCGGAGAUGGACACUGAGACAAGGGUCCAGGCCCUACGGGGCGCAGCAGGCGCGAAACCUCCUCAAUGCACUAACGUGCGAAGGGGUUACCUCGAGUGCUAUCUGAUGAAGGUGGCUUUUCCAUGGUCUAAAAAGCCUAGGGAAUAAGAGGGGGGCAAGACUGGUGUCAGCCGCCGCGGUAACACCAGCCCCUCGAGUGGUGGGGAUGAUUAUUUGGCCUAAAGCGUCCGUAGCCUGCCGGAUAAGUUUCCCGUUAAAUCCAACGUCUCAAGCGUUGGACUGCGGGAAAUACUGUCUGGCUAGAGAGUGGGAGAGGUCAGCGGUAUUCUGGGGGUAGGGGCGAAAUCCUUUGAUCCCCGGAGGACCACCAGUGGCGAAGGCUGCUGACUAGAACACGUCUGACGGUCAGGGACGAAAGCUGGGGUAGCGAACCGGAUUAGAUACCCGGGUAGUCCCAGCCGUAAACGAUGCAUGCUAGGUGUUGGGUUGGCCACGAGCCACCCCAGUGCCGCAGGGAAGCCGUUAAGCAUGCCGCCUGGGAAGUACGAUCGCAAGAUUGAAACUUAAAGGAAUUGGCGGGGGAGCACCACCAGGCGUGAAGCCUGCGGUUUAAUUGGA